AAAAAAAGCCCAAAGGAACAUGCUCUAAAACACCAAAGAAUGUUUGGUGUUGCAGUUCCACUACACACUGCCGAAGCACCAAAGCGGAUUGUGAGAAGAUGUGUAUCUGGUAGUAUCUGGGGCCGUUGAAUUUUACCAAAGAGAAUUUCAAUAAUUAUAUAUUCCCAUUAUUUUCAUAAUUCUAUUAUUCAAAAUUUAAAGAAUAAAUAGAAAUUCCUAUUCCACAGGAGCAGCUAGUAUUAUGUACUAAAUGUUUUGGAAUUUCUUUGUAAGAUCA
rnacentral:lncRNA from 1 species